AGAGAUCAUCAUCUCAGCAAGAGGUCGGUUGCUCUUUGUCACGAGUGUGAUCGGAGAGGUACACAAGGAAAGAAGUGGGAAAGGGAUUUGGGUUUUGAUCACAAGGUUUUUAUUAAGCGGUUUGUAUCAAAUCUCUUCUCAGCUUUCAUCACCAACUCUAAAAAUUUGGGUUCGUCAUCCGCAUGGGUAAUUAGUUGAGCGGAUUCUGGGUGUUUUCUCAUCUUUGGUUUUGGGUGACAAGCUAUUUAGUUGUACCCCGGAAACUCAUAGAGACAGAGAGGAGGCAAAGUUAAGAGAAAAGAACAGGAGAAGAAGACAACGACGUUCAUAGGCUAUCAGUUCAGUUGUUUUUGUCCUUUCAACACAUCGGCCUUUGGAAUGUUCAGAUAGACAGAGAGUUCAAGGUCUGCAUCAAGUUGGCGAACAAACCUGACCUGCAUCAACCAAUUUAAUUUGUAGACGCCGUAUGUACAUUUUGGUUCCUUUCAAAUAAUAACUUAUACACAUUGUCAUGCUGAUAGGCACUUUAAGGAUAAUUUUAGAUAUAGCUGUAGUGAUAUAAAUGAGAAUGUCCUGAUUUGUUGCUGCAUUUUUUUUGGCGGUAGC
rnacentral:lncRNA from 1 species